GACGAACGCUGGCGGCGUGCUUAACACAUGCAAGUCGAACGGAAAGGCCCUGCUUUUGUGGGGUGCUCGAGUGGAGAACGGGUGUGUAACAUGUGAGUAACCUGCCCUUGAGUUGGGGAUAACUUCAGGAAACGGGGGCUAAUACCGGAUAGGAGCUCCUGCAGCAUGGUGGGGGUUGGAAAGUUUCGGCGGGUGGGGAUGGACUCGCGGCUUAUCAGCUUGUUGGGGGGGUAGUGGCCUACCAAGGCUUCGACGGGUAGCCGGCCUGAGAGUGUGACCGGCCACAAUGGGACUGAGAGACGGCGCAGACUGCUACGGUAGGCAGCAGUGGAGAAUAUUGCACAAUGAGCGGAAGUCUGAUGCAGCAACGCCGCGUUCGGGAUGACGGCCUUCCGGUUGUGAACCGCUUUCGCCUGUGACGAAGCGUGAGUGACGGUAAUGGGUAAAUAAGCACCGGCUAACUACGUG
rnacentral:rRNA from 1 species